GGUCUCACUAUGUAGCCCAGGCUGGCCUCAGACUCACAGUGAUCCUCCUGCCUCAGCCUCCUGAGUGCUGGGAU
rnacentral:miRNA from 1 species